CUAAUACCGCAUAACGUCGCAAGACCAAAGAGGGGGACCUUCGGGCCUCUUGCCAUCAGAUGUGCCCAGAUGGGAUUAGCUAGUAGGUGGGGUAACGGCUCACCUAGGCGACGAUCCCUAGCUGGUCUGAGAGGAUGACCAGCCACACUGGAACUGAGACACGGUCCAGACUCCUACGGGAGGCAGCAGUGGGGAAUAUUGCACAAUGGGCGCAAGCCUGAUGCAGCCAUGCCGCGUGUAUGAAGAAGGCCUUCGGGUUGUAAAGUACUUUCAGCGGGGAGGAAGGUGUUGUGGUUAAUAACCGCAGCAAUUGACGUUACCCGCAGAAGAAGCACCGGCUAACUCCGUGCCAGCAGCCGCGGUAAUACGGAGGGUGCAAGCGUUAAUCGGAAUUACUGGGCGUAAAGCGCACGCAGGCGGUCUGUCAAAGUCGGAUGUGAAAUCCCCGGGCUCAACCUGGGAACUGCAUUCGAAACUGGCAAGCUAGAGUCUUUGUAGAGGGGGGUAGAAUUCCAGGUGUAGCCGGUGAAAUGCGUAGAAGAUCUGGAGGAAAUACCGGUGGCGAAGGCGGGCCCCCCUGGACAAAGACUGACGCUUCAGGUGCGAAAGCGUGGGGAGCAAACAGGAUUUAUAUACCCCUGGGUAGUCCACGCCGUAAACGAUGUUCGACCUUGGGAAGGUUUGUUGCCCCUUUGAAUGGCGUGGGCUUUUCCG
rnacentral:rRNA from 1 species